ACUCCUACGGGAGGCAGCAGUGGGGAAUUUUGGACAAUGGGGGCAACCCUGAUCCAGCCAUUCCGCGUGAGUGAAGAAGGCCUUCGGGUUGUAAAGCUCUUUCAGCUGGAACGAAACGGUGCGCUCUAACAUAGCGCGCUAAUGACGGUACCGGCAGAAGAAGCACCGGCUAACUACGUGCCAGCAGCCGCGGUAAUACGUAGGGUGCGAGCGUUAAUCGGAAUUACUGGGCGUAAAGCGUGCGCAGGCGGAUUGUUAAGCAAGGCGUGAAAUCCCCGGGCUCAACCUGGGAAUGGCGUUUUGAACUGGCAGUCUAGAGUGCGUCAGAGGGGGGUGGAAUUCCACGUGUAGCAGUGAAAUGCGUAGAGAUGUGGAGGAACACCGAUGGCGAAGGCAGCCCCCUGGGAUGACACUGACGCUCAUGUACGAAAGCGUUGGUAGCAAACAGGAUUAGAUACCCUGGUAGUC
rnacentral:rRNA from 1 species